rnacentral:rRNA from 1 species
GAUGAACGCUGGCGGCGUGCCUAAUACAUGCAAGUCGAGCGAAUGGAUUAAGAGCUUGCUCUUAUGAAGUUAGCGGCGGACGGGUGAGUAACACGUGGGUAACCUGCCCAUAAGACUGGGAUAACUCCGGGAAACCGGGGCUAAUACCGGAUAACAUUUUGAACCGCAUGGUUCGAAAUUGAAAGGCGGCUUCGGCUGUCACUUAUGGAUGGACCCGCGUCGCAUUAGCUAGUUGGUGAGGUAACGGCUCACCAAGGCAACGAUGCGUAGCCGACCUGAGAGGGUGAUCGGCCACACUGGGACUGAGACACGGCCCAGACGCAUACGGGAGGCAGCAGUAGGGAAUCUGCCGCAAUGGACGAAAGUCUGACGGAGCAACGCCGCGUGAGUGAUGAAGGCUUUCGGGUCGUAAAACUCUGUUGUUAGGGAAGAACAAGUGCUAGUUGAAUAAGCUGGCACCUUGACGGUACCUAACCAGAAAGCCACGGCUAACUACGUGCCAGCCGCCGCCAUAA